AUUGAACGCUGGCGGCAGGCCUAACACAUGCAAGUCGAGCGGAUGAAGGGAGCUUGCUCCUGGAUUCAGCGGCGGACGGGGGAGUAAUGCCUAGGAAUCUGCCUGGUAGUGGGUGAUAACGUCCGGAAACGGCCGCUAAUACUGCAUACGUCCUGAGCGAGAAAGUGGGGGAUCUUCGGACCUCACGCUCUCAGAUGAGCCUAGGUCGGAUUAGCUAGUUGGUGGGGUAAAGGCCUACCAAGGCGACGAUCCGUAACUGGUCUGAGAGGCUGAUCAGUCACACUGGAACGGAGACACGGUCCAGAGUACUACGGGAGGCAGCAGUGGGGAAUAUUGGACAAUGGGCGAAAGCCUGAUCCAGCCAUGCCGCGUGUGUGAAGACGGUCUUCGGAUUGUAAAGACCUUUAUGUUGGGAGGAAGCGCAGUAAGUUAAUACCUUGCUGUUUUGACGUUACCAACAGAAUAAGCACCGGCUAACUUCGUA
rnacentral:rRNA from 1 species